rnacentral:rRNA from 1 species
UACGUAGGGUGCGAGCGUUGUCCGGAAUUACUGGGCGUAAAGAGCUCGUAGGCGGUGUGUCACGUCGGCCGUGAAAACCUGCAGCUUAACUGUGGGCGUGCGGUCGAUACGGGCAUCACUGGAGUUCGGCAGGGGAGACUGGGAAUUCCUGGUGUAGCGGGUGAAAUGCGCAGAUAUCAGGAGGAACACCGGUGGCGAAGGCGGGUCUCUGGGCCGAUACUGACGCUGAGGAGCGAAAGCGUGGGGAGCGAACAGG